rnacentral:lncRNA from 1 species
AAGCCUUGAGGCUGCGGUGGUGGACAAGGCAGGAUCCCACGGGGCAGCACCACGGCCACCCGCCGGGUAGGAGGCACCACACACCCCUGGAGCCAAGGAAAUCCACACUGGUGGUGCCAAACCCGAGGGUCUGCAGGGGUGGUGAGGCUGUCGGAAAUGUGAGAGCGGGGGGAAAUACUCAUCUGGUGUCAUCAAAUCCAGCUAAAGCACGGCGAGCGCAGCGCGGCUCGUGCUGGCACAGGGAACCCCUUUGUGCAGGGGUUUCACCGCUAACGAGGCUGCUAUCGCCGCGCCAGGGAAGUCCUUGUGGUAUAGCCUAAUCCGGAGAUUGAAUUACCUACCUGCCUCUAAUUAGCACCUCCUAAAAUACAGGAUGAAUCAAAGCAAUCAUAAUUUGGAAUGGCCUAAAGUAAACCGAGGCGUGAUUUAGGCUGAAUCAGUACAGCUAGAGCUGAACUGCUGAGAGCCGCUCCGAUUUGAUGCGAGUUCCCGUUAAUUCGCUCACUUAAAUCACUUCUUAAACGAACCCUAAAUAAGGGCAGGUCCCUUUUCUCUCACGUGAGGCUUCCAGAAAGCUCACGUGCCCUAGAGUCUCACUCUCAGCCUUACUCUGCCGAUAAUGACGUGCUUGCCGUGCUGCCACUGCGCGUGUUUGCACACACAGAAAUACUGGAUUCAGAAGGGUGUCUGGACUACUAGGGGCAACUUCAGUUCCUGUCACCUCUUACAAGCACCUUCAGCAUCACACCACUGCAGACAGAGGACCCUCCUUAGACCUGACAUAACACACAGGGGGCUUCCUGGUGCUGCCUUUGGGGUUCUGCCAGCUCGACGCAUACAAACCCAACGGAAGGGGCUCAACUCUCAUAAAGCUUUCCCCGUGGGGAGCUGUGUCUUUUUGUCACCGUACAGCAGAGAUCGAUGCAGCUGCUGCAUUAAUGCUGCCCACCAGCAGCCGCAUACCUGCUUCCCAGCGGGCUGUCCGCAGGUCCCCCAGCACCCUAAAUACCAAAGCAUCAGGUAGGGAAACUGAGGUAACAAAGGACAUGUGUCAGAGCACACACCCAGCAGAGGUGCAAAUACACUUCAGCUUUCCUGAUACACAACUCGGUGUUUUGCUACACCAGUCUGUCCUGUCAAGCGUUUCCCUGGAUCAUGAGGUAAGAUGAAAAAAAAUCUUAUUUUCCAUAGCUAAGAGGGCUUUAAUCAAAGUAAUUAUUGGAACUGAUCUGAUUAGGAAGUAAUGUAUUUAGAAAAAGUUAAGGCUGCCAACUGGGAAACUACUACCCAGCCUCUGAUUGCUUUAGAUGUGGAUGAUUUCAUAGUUAAUUCUUCAAGUGUUAUUGCAUGUGUCUUCAUCUAUGAAUGUAAAAUAUUUUUCUAAAAUAAUAAAUAAUCGCUAUCCAGGCAACUCACCAUGUAAACAGCACGCUAGGCUGGCGCACUGACAAGGAGCUGUGUGCGAAGUUCUCCUCCGAGCAGUCAGAGGCGAUGCACUGCACUGCAACUGACACCGCACUUGAGCAACUUAACCUGUGGUUAAAGCACUCCGUAGGGCUGACACUGUCAAAACCUACGUGAAUUACACGGCUACUCCUUCUCAACCAGCUUGUAAAGAGCUUACUGCUCCUCUGCAGGAUCAGAGCAGCAUGAUUCAAACACUCUGCCCCCUAAAAACUGUAAGUCAUUAUGAAUUUGAUUAAUCAGCUCUGCGCUUAUGGUGCACGUUUGCUUUUUCUGAAGACCUAACUGGGAUGGAUAAACAUCAGAUGAGCUCUUCACAUACAAUAGAUGGAAACAAUCUUCCGCUAAAACUUUACAAGAGAUUGGUGCCAACGCUGGAGCAGUAAUGCCAGCUGCCAGCAAAAGGAAAGAAUUUUGUUCAGAUUUGGUCCUUUACUUCCUGGGCUAAUAAGAGCAAGAAGCAUCACAUCUGAGCUGAUCAGAGCAAUGAAUCAGAAGGGAAAGGAGGAUUGCUGAGAGGAAUGCUCCUGAGAAAGGGGGAAUAAGGCUGGAGUCAGGGGGAGAAUUUGGGGGGCAGUCUGUGGCUGGGGGUACUCCUGAGCUGAUGCUAGCAAGGUCCAAAAGCUGCGGUCCCUAGGAAUUGGCUCCCCUAGGGAGACCAGGCUGAAAACCCACGGAUGGGUAAGAGCUUGUACAGGCUUUGAGUAGGGAAGAGUCGUGACCCCAGGUAUUGGAACAGGCAGCUUCAGAGUUAAACAGCUACGCUGAGUCCAACUCUUCAGUUGCGAAUUUGAAUCCAUCCUGAAGACGUUCUGGAACUUCCAGUUACCCCUUCUAAAGGACAAGAAGUCUCGAGCUUCUGUCAGAGAAUACAGAUGUCUAGAAACGCACAUUAAUUUUAAAUUUCUGCCAAAUUCCAAUCCUACUCGAUGCAUGCUGUUUUGCCUUCUCUUGAGAGCUCUUGCCAAAAUAGUUUGACUUCCAGUAUUAGCUCCUAACAAAAAUGUGCAGGAACUCCAAGCUCUUACUCCACUUACACCUAUGAAAAAGUUUAUUCCACGGGAAUGAGAUAUCUGCACAGAAAACUGUCAGAAGAGGAAAAAGUGAUUGUUAGGCUUCUGGAAACAGUAUUUUUGUUGGUGUCAACCUCACUAGCAUUGCAAGUGAUCAAAGACAACAAAUGCCAAUAGAGAAUGGAAAAACUCCGUAAGAUGGAGGCUAACUUUCCUUUUGGAUUGGGUAGGAGUUUUAAUCACUCGAUGCUACUCAGCCUGCAGCAGUGUCAUGUCAGUCUGCCGGGGAAUCAACGCCGGGGAAGGAAGCUACCAACACUGGCGGUGGAAGUCUGGAGAUGGAAAAUUACCUUUAAAUUAUGAAAAUGCAUGUGCAGCUCCAGCAUAUGUGGAAUGUUUACAUCGCUAGAAGAAAAUGAUCUAACUCUGCCGUUAAAUCUGCGGGACAGAAUGACAGCAGAAUUUCUUCUUUAACGAAGGAACUUUCUCAGAUGAAACAGGAAUGUCAGCUUCAGUGCAUACUCCGCUGACUGGAACAGGAUCAAGUCUUAACUAAGUUCCACACAAUGUUUUCAGGGGAAAAGUGGAGAAUGUUUUAUGGAAUUCAAGCCUGGAUUUGGCUUGCAUCCUAGAACAUAUAUCUUGUUAUGAAAACUGCUGAAACACUUUUAAGUGGGCAAGCCGCAAGUGUCCUUGGAGCUAUCCACUGCACGGGAAGUCACACAGGAGAAACUGAGGCAGAAAGGCUCCGGUUUGGGGGGGUGGAGGGGGGGGACGGAGG